rnacentral:rRNA from 1 species
AUUGAACGCUGGCGGCGUGCUUAACACAUGCAAGUCGAGCGGCAGCGCGGGAGCAAUCCUGGCGGCGAGCGGCGAACGGGUGAGUAAUGCUUCGGAAUCUGCCCUUUAGUGGGGAAUAACCAGUCGAAAGACUGGCUAAUACCGCAUACGACCUACGGGUGAAAGCAGGGGAUGCAAGAACCUUGCGCUAAUGGAGGGGCCGAAGUCGGAUUAGCUAGUUGGUGAGGUAACGGCCAACCAAGGCGACGAUCCGUAGCUGGUCUGAGAGGACGACUAGCCACACUGGGACUGAGACACGGCCCAGACUCCUACGGGAGGCAGCAGUGGGGAAUUUUGGACAAUGGGCGAAAGCCUGAUCCAGCCAUGCCGCGUGCAGGAUGAAGGCCUUCGGGUUGUAAACUGCUUUUGUACGGAGCGAAAAGACUCUUUCUAAUAAAGAGGGUCCAUGACGGUACCGUAAGAAUAAGCACCGGCUAACUACGUGCCAGCCGCCGCCGUAA